rnacentral:lncRNA from 11 species
GCAUUUGCGAACCAAUAUUGCGUUUAGGAUGAUUGUGUCUAAAUGCCAUUAUUUUCGUGUGUCUUGCAGGUCUCCCUCCGUCGUUGGAUCUUAGAAGAACUGGGGUUCCAGCCAAGAAGUCUUGCUAAGGAUGCAAAUGCCUGCUUUCUGUCCAAAUAUCCAUCAGGGCAAAGAAAGGCUUUCAACUUCAUUGCUUACAACAAGGUGAACUUCUAGGUAUUGAAAAGAGAAGAGGACGAUGGAACUGGAAGCAUGUCUUUGCAAUGGUGGACUAUGGCCCAGCAUUCAGCUCUAUCCAACCUCGAAGAGUGCGAAACCAAGGUAGAAUGCAGCCGUUGACAGGAUAAUUCUCUCCGUCUUUCUCCCUUUUCCUUUCUCAUCCCUUUUUUCUCUGCAAGGAGUGGGAAGGAGGAGGAGGAGGAGGAGGCGAAGAAAGGAAGCCAGAGGAUGGAGAGGGGGAGAAAUCAGCUAUCAAUGGCCCUGCCUUGAUGGGGAAUAAAAUAUGCACUGAAAGACAUUAAAAUGGAGUAAAUAAAAGAGAUAAAAAUGGAACGAUCAAGCCGGGGAACUUCUUCUCCUCUGAUUAAAAAAGCGCAGGGAGGAGGAGGAGGAGGAGGGGGAAAGGCUCCAAAACCCUUGAAGAGGCAGGCAGCUGCUGCGAAAGCCGGAGACUGAUAAAGGGUCCUCCGGCUGCCUGUUUGCCAGAGAUAAAGCCGAGUCCCGGCUCCGCUUGUCCUCAUCCAAAGUCUUACCAUCAAUGUUA